ACGUUAAGUGGGGACUCUGGCGGAACUGCCGGUGGACAAACCGGAGGAAGUGGGGAUGACGUCAAGUCCUCAUGGCCCUUAUGUCCAGGGCUACACACGUGCUACAAUGGUCGCUACAGAGUGACGCGAAGCCGCGAGGUGGAGACAAAUCGCAGAAAAGCGACCUUAGUUCGGAUUGGAGUCUGAAACCCGACUCCAUGAAGGUGGAAUCGCUAGUAAUCGCGCAUCAGCAUGGCGCGGUGAAUACGUUCCCGGGCCUU
rnacentral:rRNA from 1 species